GACGAACGCUGGCGGCGUGCUUAACACAUGCAAGUCGAGCGGUAAGGCCCUUUCGGGGGUACGACGAGCGGCGAACGGGUGAGUAACACGUGGGUGACCUGCCCUUAGCUCUGGGAUAAGCCUGGGAAACUGGGCCUAAUACCGGAUAUGACUCCAUGACGCAUGUUGUGGGGUGGAAAGCCUUGUGCGGCUAGGGAUGGGCCCGCGGCCUAUCAGCUUGUUGGUGGGGUGAUGGCCUACCAAGGCGACGACGGGUAGCCGGCCUGAGAGGGCGACCGGCCACACUGGGACUGAGACACGGCCCAGACUCCUACGGGAGGCAGCAGCGGGGAAUCUUGCGCAAUGGCGAAAGCCUGACGCAGCGACGCCGCGUGAGGGAUGACGGCCUCGGUGUAAC
rnacentral:rRNA from 1 species